AGACAGCAGUCGCCCGGGAAUACGAAGGGUGCAAGCGUUAAUCGGAAUUACUGGGCGUAAAGCGUGCGUAGGCGGUGAGUUAAGUCUGCUGUGAAAUCCCCGGGCUCAACCUGGGAAUGGCAGUGGAUACUGGCUCGCUAGAGUGUGUCAGAGGAUGGUGGAAUUCCCGGUGUAGCGGUGAAAUGCGUAGAGAUCGGGAGGAACAUCAGUGGCGAAGGCGGCCAUCUGGGACAACACUGACGCUGAGGCACGAAAGCGUGGGGAGCAAACAGGAUUAGAUACCCCCGUAGUCCCUGUCUCUUAUACA
rnacentral:rRNA from 1 species